CCAGACAUGGACACUACUCCAGAUGGGGCCUUACAAGAGCAGAAGGGCAGGAUCACUUCUCUCUCUCUGUGUUGACCACCCCUUUUUUGAUGCAGCUCAGGAUACUGUUGGCCUUCCAGAAUGACGUAUGCAGGAUAUCAAGCGCCGAAGUGAAGUUUUCAGUGAGUCACCCGCAGCCCCGAGCAGCGCAGCCCGCGCCCCGCCAGCCCCGCCGCGGCCUCCCUCUGCCCGGCCCCGCCGCCCCGCUCCGGCUCCGCGAUGCCUCCGCGCCUGCGGCCGCUGCUCCUGCGAGUGUCCCUGUGGGUCCUCGUGGGCUCCUCGAGCCCCGCGCUGCUCCGCGAUAGAAGCAAGGAAAAUGGACUGCAAUUGCCCAGGCUAUGCAAAUUCUGUGACAUUAAAGCAACAACAUGCUCAAACCAAUAUCAGUGCAAGAGCAACUGCAACAUCACUUCCAUCUGUGAGAAGAAUAACGAAGUCUGUGCUGCUGUAUGGAGACGGAACGAUGAGAAUGUGACAUUAGAAACAAUCUGCCACGAUCCCCAGAAGAGACUGUAUGGUCACAUGUUGGAUGACUCCAGCUCAGAGCAGUGUGUGAUGAAGGAGAAGAAGGAUGAUGGGGGGCUGAUGUUCAUGUGCUCCUGUACAGGUGAAGAGUGCAACGAUGUUCUUAUUUUUUCUGCAGACAGAUUUAGGGAAAAUGGACUGCAAUUACCCAAACUAUGCAAGUUCUGUGACAUUAAAGCAACAACAUGCUCAAACCAAUAUCAGUGCAAGAGCAACUGCAACAUCACUUCUAUCUGUGAGAAGAAUAACGAAGUCUGUGCUGCUGUAUGGAGACGGAACGAUGAGAAUGUGACAUUAGAAACAAUCUGCCACGAUCCCCAGAAGAGACUGUAUGGUCACAUGUUGGAUGACUCCAGCUCAGAGCAGUGUGUGAUGAAGGAGAAGAAGGAUGAUGGGGGACUGAUGUUCAUGUGCUCCUGUACAGGUGAAGAGUGCAACGAUGUUCUUAUUUUUUCUGCAGACAGAUUUAGGGAAAAUGGACUGCAAUUACCCAAACUAUGCAAGUUCUGUGACAUUAAAGCAACAACAUGCUCAAACCAAUAUCAGUGCAAGAGCAACUGCAACAUCACUUCUAUCUGUGAGAAGAAUAACGAAGUCUGUGCUGCUGUAUGGAGACGGAACGAUGAGAAUGUGACAUUAGAAACAAUCUGCCACGAUCCCCAGAAGAGACUGUAUGGUCACAUGUUGGAUGACUCCAGCUCAGAGCAGUGUGUGAUGAAGGAGAAGAAGGAUGAUGGGGGGCUGAUGUUCAUGUGCUCCUGUACAGGUGAAGAGUGCAACGAUGUUCUUAUUUUUUCUGCAGAUGAUCCCCAUAAGCCAGAGGAGAAAGAUGAAAUUUCCAAAGUCACAAUCAUAAGUCUUGUCCCCUUAUUGGUGAUUUCUGUUGCUGUGAUUGUUAUCUUUUAUGCCUACCGCACUCAUAAGAAGAGGAAGCUCAACAAGGCCUGGGAGAAGAAUGUUAAGCCCAGGAAACAUAAAGACUGCAGUGAUGUUUGUGCCAUUAUGUUGGAUGAUGAUCACUCAGACAUCAGCUCUACCUGUGCCAACAACAUCAACCACAACACAGAAUUGCUGCCCAUUGAGCUGGACAUUGUUGUUGGCAAAGGAAGAUUUGCUGAAGUGUAUAAAGCCAAAUUGAAGCAAAACACGUCUGAGCAGUACGAAACUGUGGCAGUAAAGAUCUUCCCCUAUGAAGAAUAUGCCUCCUGGAAAACCGAGAAAGACAUUUUUUCGGAUGUAAACCUUAAGCAUGAGAACAUCCUCCAAUUCUUGACCGCAGAGGAGCGUAAGACAGAUCUUGGUAAACAGUAUUGGUUGAUCACUGCCUUCCAUGCUAGAGGAAACUUGCAGGAGUACCUCACACGGCACAUUAUCAGCUGGGAAGACCUCUGGAAACUGGGAGGAUCCUUGGCCCGAGGGAUUGCCCAUCUGCACAGUGAUCACACACCCUGUGGUCGCCCUAAAACCCCUAUUGUGCACAGAGACCUAAAGAGUUCCAACAUCCUGGUGAAAAAUGAUUUAACUUGCUGUCUCUGUGACUUUGGGUUAUCUCUGAGGCUGGACCCUUCUCUGUCUGUGGAUGACUUGGCCAACAGCGGUCAGGUUGGCACAGCAAGGUACAUGGCCCCUGAGGUCCUGGAGUCCAGGAUGAACCUUGAGAACAUGGAGUCCUUUAAACAAACAGAUGUGUACUCCAUGGCUUUGGUCCUUUGGGAAAUGACAUCUCGCUGCAAUGGUGUUGGAGAAGUGAAAGAGUAUGAGCCCCCCUUUGGUUCUAAAGUGCGAGAACAUCCCUGCGUGGAAAGCAUGAAGGACAAUGUCCUAAGAGACAGAGGGCGACCUGAGAUCCCCAGCUCCUGGCUCAACCAUCAGGGCAUCCAGAUGGUGUGUGAGACCCUUAUUGAGUGCUGGGACCACGACCCCGAGGCUCGGCUCACGGCGCAGUGCGUGGCGGAGCGCUUCAGUGAGUUCAAGCACCACGACAAGCUCUCAGGGAGAAGCUGUUCAGAGGAGAAGAUCCCCGAGGACGGCUCCGUGACCACCGCCAAGUAGCACGCACCCAAGAGCUCCGAAAUGGAGGGAGGUUACUCCUAAGCACGUUACCUUGGCAGAGGAAGAAGUCACGAUCGGUGCCUUGACUUGCUUCCUGGAGGACUGAGGCUGUCACUACUCCCUUUGAGCUGUGGCUCUGGGCAGGGAGAUGUAUGCAUGGGAGUUAAAAGCCAGGGAGUGGGUGUUGUACUCCAGCAUUGGCAGCCGGCGUCAUGUCAUAGGAGGAGCUAAGUCUGUUAGCACUUCCUCAGGAAAUGAGAUUUGAGAAUAGCCAAUAACAUUAUGCACUUUAAUAAUGCCUGUAUAUAACUAUGAAAUUGCUAUUUUUAUAUAUAUAUACAUAUAUAUUAAAAAUGUCUGUGUAUGUAUAUAUCUAUCUAUAUAUCUGUAAACAGCCAUGAUCUGAAGAAAAGAGUUUAAAAAAUGCUUGCAGGAAAUUACCUGUGCAUUAGAGAUCCCUCCCCAUUGGGAAAGCGCCCGGGGAGACUGGUGUAUCAGGACACUAGCGAUUGUGCACUAAGCACUCUGCCAAAAAGAUAGGAACAAGGAGCAAUAAGAGGAUGGCUUUGAAGCAUGUGCUGCACACACCCAGCUGUGGCCCAGGAGACGACAGUUGCAGCAGCAGUCUCACAGCAAGGAGACAGAUCUGGCUUUGCAGUUGUAACUACACGCUCCUGCCUGCAGUGUUUUUGGGAAGAUUCGGGGAUGUCUUUGCCCUCUUGCCUUAACCCCAAGGUCCUCACAGCCUCCCAUAGUGGGAGGGAGCGUGAGGAGGUUUGGUCCCACCACCUGUGUUUCCAUGCAGAGGUCAUUAGUGUUACGUCUUUAUUGCUUUGAGUUCAUGCUGCUUGCAAGCAGGUUGCAAAAUAGCAGCGGGAUGAGAUUUUUCCCCUCCUCCCUUCCUGACCCUCAAACCGCACCAAGUCCAGCAGUAAUCCAAGCAGAUGUUUUAUAUUUGCUCUGCAUUCUGAACGCAGACUGUACUUAUUUUUUCCCUUUUCCUUUUACCUUAAUUGCGUUGCUGUGAGAACAAAUAACUUUUUCCUAGUACAGCAUAUCUGAUUGCUUGACAUACCACAGCCUGACUGUUCCAUGCUUUCUAGAGAAAAGCAAGAGACAACACCCAGUGCCUUUGCUUUCACACAAGGACCUUAGAAAUGAGGGAAGGCUCCAUGGCAUCAGGUUCAUGGCAUAUCCUGCCCUCUUCUCUUCAGGGUAGUGGGAAUUUAAUUAUCCAGACAGUUGACGUAUGUAAACUUAUACAAAUGACAGCAGUGCGUUUCAUAAUUCUGACGAUUUUGUCUUCAGGAGUUCUGCAGUGAUGUUUCACUUUUUUCUUCCCUUGGCAUGUGUUUGGGAACUGUUGAACCACUGAUUGAUCACCUGAGGCGAGCACUGAGUCAGCCAUGGAGCACAGGUGAAGGCAAUUCAGCUGUGUGAUGGAGAGGGUGGAGCCUGGCUGCACCUCUCCUAGACCUAUUUAAGGGCUGACUGCCACAGGGGAAGGGUCUCUUUUUGGAGAUCACUUUCUUCGGAGUUUUUUCUGUGAGCCUAGGACAAAGAUGCCCGGAUGUCCAGCUGCCGCUGCACGUGUCCCUCUGUGCUGCUGUCUUGUCUGGAGAGCAUCAGCAAAGGGAUGCAGUGGCCAUUCCUUCACCAUGUAAAACCAUCUCUGGUCACGGGCAGGGGACAGAAGCAGGCUCACAGCUGACUCUCUCCUAUUGUCAACUCAAUCGCAAGCGCAGGAAAUUGUAUUGGAAGUCCUGAGAGCAAGACUGCUAGCUUCAGGCACGAUGAUUUGUGAGUGACGUUGCACAUGGAUCCAGCACAAAAUGCCUGAAGUUCUCAGAAGAUGCAUCCAUAUAACUGACAGCAAUAACUACCUCAGCAUCCCUGCUAAGUAUUUACUUUCUUUCCUAAAGCUUUGUAUUGAAAAAAGAUUAUUAAAAGUAGACACAUAAAAUUUAAAAAACAAACAAACAAACAAAUCAGCCAGUGGAUCUGUUUCUACACUGAUUUAUACCUGUACUCCACUACCUUCACAAUUGGCUGAGCAUCCUGAGAGAUGUAACUCAGUAACUAAGAGUGGGAGAGAGCUCAUGGGCCAGUCCCAUAUAGUUUAAAAGAAAAAAAAAAAAAGCCAUUUCUGCAAAAAUAAUUUAGCUUCUGCAUUUGAAAGCGAGAGCAAGAUAAAUGGUGACACAUUUUCAUCCAAGAUGUUUAUUAAAGAUGAUAAGGGCACAGCACACAGACAAACCACAUCCUGAAGCAUGGUUAAGCUAGGUUUCACAUUCUAAAGCUGUGCAGGCAGCUUGCUGUUUCUCCAUCUGGAGAGCUCAUUGGUACCUCUCUUGUACACAUCUCUGCAGUUUUAGAUCGAGAAAUUACAAACACAGCCUACAUUUAUAUGGGUGUCAUUUACUUCACUUUUUAUUAAAAUCAUCAGCUACAAAAUAGCCAUUUCGAACAUCCCAGUCCUAAAUAAGCAACUACGAAAAAAAUUAGUCCUGAAAUGAGACCACAAUGGACAUGAUAAGGGGUCAGAAACACGAGAAGAUACAGAGACAUCAGAGAAGGCACUCACAUCACACUGAAAGGUUAAACCAUACCUUUGAAAACAUCAGUGCACUUGUUGAUCUGAGACACACUUUCUGCAAACAUUGAAAAAGUUCCAUUUUCCCCUCAUUUAAAAAAAGAACUACAGCCACUAUGACACAGGAGAAACUGCUACUUCAACCCAACAUGUGACAGAAGUCCCACAGUACCUGGAAACAGAAAAAUGUGCUAACAUGGAAAGAAACAACACUUUUUUGAUAGUAGUGGUGUCACAAAACACCAGGUAAAAUUCUCAGCUGACAGCAAGUGACACACUUCCUCCGAGUCAAAAAAUUAAGUACUCACCAAGACUCUGGAUAACAAUAAAAGAAUCCUGACAGUAUUCUGUCUCUCCCUUCAAGGACAAAAAAGAAAAAGUGAAGGGUUAACAGUCCUAUCUACCUUCAGAAGCAACAGCGAAGUCAUCGCAUCCAUCCAGCAGCCCUUGACAUGCUCUGCACUCCACCCAGAGUCGCUGGGAGGCUAAAUAAGCUUUGUGGGCCCUGCAUUCAGUUAUGUGCUUUACAAAACCAUAACAACUGGUAUACCCAGAAGCACUAGAUAGUAAAUGAUAAAGUAUUCUGCGAAUAUUACAGUGCAGAAUCAAGGGGCCAUGUUGUGCCAUUUAUUUUUAUGUUAAUAUCAAUGUGGAGUUCAGCUUAAUAUCCAGUGACUCGCUGUAAUAGCAACAGAAUAAUCACUUCCAGGACACUGUUAAGGACAUCUGUCAAGUUCUGCAGAUUUGACUCCUUCUAUCUACUGCUCUGACAGUGUGACCUCCUAGGUUAUCAUGACCCUGCUAAACUUUCCAUACCAUCAUCCUGGAGGUGGGAAGUAGGAAUGUCACGCAAUGUUGGAUCCUAGCAUAACGUGAGAAAUGAAAACAUAAAAGCAUUGUGUUUAAAGACAACUUUCAUCAACACAUUACAGCACAAAGAUCUGCAUUGGUCAGUGCUACCUCAAAAACAAAAUAAGGAACAAACAUCAAAACAAUAAGGUAAGUAGGUGUUAAUCAGAUGAUGAAACAUGUUAUUUUCAUUAGUCUGCUGCAAGAAAUUCACUCCAAGAAAUACAUCUCUAGCUUUACAAAGCUGCCCCUUUUAUAUCUAGAAUGACAACAAAUCAAAAGGAUACUAUAAUUCUUAACACAAAGUUUAGAACUUAACUUUGCAACAUAAGAUUAACAAAAGAUACUCGAUGGCUCCCAUCAUAAAAACAGGCAGGCUAUCACUGAUCACCUCCACGUUGAUUUCAGUGCCAAAGUAUAAAUUAUACACUGAUAACAUAAAAUCAAGUCAUCUCAUAUCUAAUAUAGGCAAAUACAGACUGACGGUGAAAACUAUCACUUUUCUACAUGUUUAACAUAUAGUUGCCAAGUUUUAAAAUACAUAUCUUUCAGGUACAUAUACUUUUUUUUUUU